CAUCGCGAGGUGGAAUCUGAAGAAAGCCGGAUGGCAGGGGGAAACAACGAAUCCUGCAGGGCAAAGUUCCGGGCCGACGAACAGACAUCGCAUAUCAGGCGGGGCAGAGCGGACGAAGCUGCAGCUGAGGCCGAAGUCCCAUACUGCCCGGAUGCUGUCACGUAAAUGAGGAGGCUGCAUGGAAUGAAGGCUG
rnacentral:ncRNA from 1 species